UACGUAGGGUGCAAGCGUUGUCCGGAAUUAUUGGGCGUAAAGAGCUCGUAGGCGGUUUGUCGCGUCUGCUGUGAAAACUCAGGGCUUAACCCUGAGCCUGCAGUGGGUACGGGCAGACUAGAGUGUGGUAGGGGAGAUCGGAAUUCCUGGUGUAGCGGUGGAAUGCGCAGGAUAUCGAGGAGGAACACCGGUGGCGAAGGCGGAUCUCGUGGGC
rnacentral:rRNA from 1 species